rnacentral:rRNA from 1 species
UACGUAGGGGGCUAGCGUUGGUCCGGAAUCAUUGGGCGUAAAGAGCGUGUAGGCGGUCCGGUAAGUCCGCUGUGAAAGUCCAGGGCUCAACCCUGGGAUGCCGGUGGAUACUGUCGGGCUCGAGUCCGGAAGAGGAGUGUGGAAUUCCUGGUGUAGCGGUGAAAUGCGCAGAUAUCAGGAGGAACACCGGUGGCGAAGCGGUUGAGC